rnacentral:rRNA from 1 species
GACGAACGCUGGCGGCGUGCUUAACACAUGCAAGUCGAACGGAAAGGCCCUGCUUCUGUGGGGUGCUCGAGUGGCUAACGGGUGAGUAACACGUGAGUAACCUGCCCUUGAUUUUGGGAUGACUUCCAGAAACUGGGGCUAAUACCGGAUAGAUGCUCCUGCUGCAUGGCGGGGGGUGGAGAGUUACGGCGGUUGGGGAUGGACUCGCGGCUUAUCAGCUUGUUGGUGGGGUAGUGGCUUACCAAGGCUUUGACGGGUAGCCGGCCUGAGAGGGUGACCGGCCACAUUGGGACUGAGAUACGGCCCAGACUCCUACGAGAGGCAGCAGUGGGGAAUAUUGCACAAUGGGCGGAAGCCUGAUGCAGCAACGCCGCGUGCGGGAUGACGGCCUUCGGGUUGUAAACCGCUUUCGCCUGUGACGAAGCGUGAGUGACGGUAAUGGGUAAAGAAGCACCGGCUAACUACGUG